UACGUAGGGUGCAAGCGUUGUCCGGAAUUAUUGGCGUAAAGAGCUCGUAGGCGGUCUGUCGCGUCGGCUGUGAAAACCCGGAGCUCAACUCCGGGCCUGCAGUCGAUACGGGCAGACUGGAGUUCGGCAGGGGAGACUGGAAUUCCUGGUGUAGCGGUGAAAUGCGCAGAUAUCAGGAGGAACACCGGUGGCGAAGGCGGGUCUCUGGGCCGAUACUGACGCUGAGGAGCGAAGCGUGGGAGCGAACAGG
rnacentral:rRNA from 1 species